rnacentral:rRNA from 1 species
UACGAAGGGGGCUAGCGUUGCUCGGAAUCACUGGGCGUAAAGCGCACGUAGGCGGAUUGUUAAGUCGGGGGUGAAAUCCUGGAGCUCAACUCCAGAACUGCCUUUGAUACUGGCAACCUUGAGUCCGGGAGAGGUGAGUGGAACUGCGAGUGUAGAGGUGAAAUUCGUAGAUAUUCGCAAGAACACCAGUGGCGAAGGCGGCUCACUGGCCCGGUACUGACGCUGAGGUGCGAAAGCGUGGGGAGCAAACAGG